rnacentral:lncRNA from 1 species
UUGCAGAUCAACAAAUUUCAUCACCACCACAAUCUACAUAAGUUUGGAUUUUAUCACUCAUUGUGAGUGGGUUUGAUACCAAAUUGUUGAAAACACAAGAACAUGAUAGAGUUAUUGGGCAAUUAACGAGAAUGUUAGAAGUGAUUAUCUUCCCUUCAUAACUAUUCCUAGAACAACCUAUGGUAACUGAUAAUCAAGGGAGAUUAAAACCUUUAAGACUUGUUUAGAGAGAGCUCUAGAUCUCUUAAAAAGUAGAUGGUAAUUCUACUUAUGUUUUUACUCUCCAAUAGGU